GGGCCUGUAGCUCAAUUGGUAGAGCACCGCCUUUGCAAGGCGGGGGUCAGGGGUUCGAUUCCCCUCAGGUCCACC
rnacentral:tRNA from 1 species